rnacentral:RNase_P_RNA from 1 species
GGAGAAGACCAGAUGAUCGCCGGUAGACUUGAGCUGCCGGAGGAAAGUCCGAGCUCCGCAGGGCAGGAUGGUCGCUAACGGCGACCGGGGGUGACCCCAGGGAAAGUGCCACAGAAAAGAUACCGCCUCGCGCAAGCGGGGUAAGGGUGAAAAGGCGAGGUAAGAGCUCACCGCUUUCCCGGUGACGGGAAAGGCAUGGUAAACCCCAUCCGGAGCAAGACCAAAUAGGAGAACGUUUGAGGGCGGCCCGUCCGAUGUUCUCGGGUAGUGUCGCUAGAGGCGCAAGGCAACUUGCGUCCCAGAUGAAUGAUCAUCGUCGCGCUCGCGGGUAACCGUGGCGUGAAACAGAACUCGGCUUACGGUCUUCUCUCGUG